CCUACGGGAGGCAGCAGUGAGGAAUAUUGGUCAAUGGGCGCGAGCCUGAACCAGCAAAGUCGCGUGGGGGAUGACGGCCCUACGGGUUGUAAACCUCUUUUGCCGGGGAGCAAAUGGCGCCACGUGUGGCGUCACUGAGAGUACCCGGAGAACAAGCAUCGGCUAACUCCGGGCCAGCAGCCGCGGUAAUACGGGGGAUGCGAGCGUUAUCCGGAUUUAUUGGGUUUAAAGGGUGCGUAGGCGGAGCGUUAAGUCAGUGGUAAAAUUUAGGGGCUAAACCCCGUACCGCCGUUGAAACUGGUGUUCUUGAGUGGAAGAGAAGUAUGCGGAAUGCGUGGUGUAGCGGUGAAAUGCGUAGAUAUCACGCAGAACACUGAUUGCGAAGGCAGCAUGCCGGCUUCCGACUGACGCUGAAGCACGAAAGCGUGGGGAUCGAACAGGAUUAGAUACCCUAGUAGUC
rnacentral:rRNA from 1 species